UGGGGAAUAUUGGACAAUGGACCAAAAGUCUGAUCCAGCAAUUCUGUGUGCACGAUGAAGUUUUUCGGAAUGUAAAGUGCUUUCAGUUGGGACGAAGAAAGUGACGGUACCAACAUAAGAAGCGACGGCUAAAUACGUG
rnacentral:rRNA from 1 species